rnacentral:tRNA from 1 species
GCCUGAGUGGCUCAGUUGGUUGAGUGGCUGACUUCGACUCAGGUCAUGAUCUUGCUGUUCGUGAGUUCGAGCCCCUCUUCAGGCU